rnacentral:snRNA from 1 species
GGAUGUGAAGGCAAUCUGGCUGCGACAUCUGUCACCCUAUUGAUCAUCAGGGUUGAUUUGGCUGAUCUGGCUGGCUAGGUGGGUGUCCCCUUCCUCCCUCACAGCUCCAUGUGCGUCCAUCCCAAAGCUGCUUGCUCAGUCAAUGAGGAUGACCAUCCCUAGUAGAGGAGGACCAGUCUUUGGUCAAGGGUAUGCAAGUAGCUGCGCUCCCCUGCUAGAACUUCUGAACAAGCUCUCAAAGCACACCAUAAAAAAGUGAAAAAGCAAUCCAUGAAAUGGGAGAAAAAGUUGCAAAUCAUAUAUCUGAUAAGGGAUUUGUAUCU